AGUAGCUCCCGAGCACGCCGGAGGCCUGGCCUGUGGAUGAGAUUGUUCCUUAUUUCCCCAGCUUCAGCACCACAGAAGAGACCAGAGUCUACCUUGCCAGCUCCUCUAGCACCGACCACGUGCCAAUUCAUGUCCUGAAUGCUCACUUCACUUCUUCACCUUGCUUCACUUCACUUACUGCACGGGAACAGAAAAGCCUAGAGAGGAUGGAUUACCUGUGCGGUUGCCUCCCUCUGCAGAGUGGGCGUGUCUCAGGAGCUUCUCUUCUUCUCCAGCCCAGUGCGGCCUCGUGUCAUCCAUAGGACCCACCGGCAGAGGGCAGGGCCUGCGAGUGGGGCCAGCCUCCUGGUGACUCUCGCCUCCUCUUUUCCAGCGGACGCUACCAGAGGACGAAGGUCUGACUCUGGCCAACGGCCCAGAAUUUCUGGCCCAGUUUUGCCUGAGGAAGCCAACUGUGCAGGAGGUCAGGAUCCCGGUAGGGUGAGAGUGGGAAAGUUAACAUUCCCAAGAGACUCCAAGCAACAGGAUUUCCUGACCUGGGACUAUUACCUUUCUCACAUUACAUGGCCAGAUUUACUUCCUGCUAUUAUUAAAAGUACGAAAAAGAUGAAGAUAUGUGUUUAAUGGAAACAAGGGCAAGAGUUUGCCUGACUGGACUUUGAGGAGGCUGUAGGAUCAUGGCGCUAACGGCAUUUGGAGGGCUGGGAAGGGACUCUAGCCCUGGCUUUACCUGCCUUUGUCAUCAGCUGGAGCAAGCAACUCCGCAACCUCGGAGCCUCAGUUUCCUUUUCUGUAAAAGGCGGGGAGGGUGGGUGGUAAGUGCAAUGCUGAAUCAGAACUCAUAGAGCUGCUGGGUGGACAUGUGAAGUAAAAGAGGAGACAGCUUUUGCUCCUGAAGGAUGCCAUUUGCGUUUUCCUCAUCAGUUUGAUCUCCUCCAAUCAUCCAGCACCUCCAUCUGACCUUCUCAGCUGAGAGGUCCUCAGUGUUUCUGUGGCCUCCAGGAGAAAGGUCCCCCUCCCCGGCUGAGGCCAGGCUGAUGGCAGGCUGCACGGCCAGCCUUCCACAGUCACCUGAAGGAUACAGAAAAGGAAGAGCUGGAGGCUUCUAGCAAGCUGCCGAACUGUGUCCUCCAGCUGCGCCCAGCCCCCUGGAGGUAGCGCCGGAGCACGUGGUGGUGGCUAUGUAGGAAGGCCCCUUUCGAGCCGCCCUAUACUGUCUUUGGGAUCUGCUUUUUACUGCCACAGCCUAUGUGCUCCUGAUUCUUCUCUCAAUCCCUGGAUGGAAACCGGCCUCUGAUACUUGGCUCUGCUUCCUUGGAGGAGCUACUUAACCAUUCAGUCCUCUCUGCAGUUAGCUAUUAAGGUUGUCCUGCGAACUGAAGCAGAGAGUCCCCGCAAAGGGUGCAGAGUAGGGCACCCACAGAGGAGCCUCUAAAGCACUUUCCAUGAGGUGGAUGGCUUCUCCUCCCCAAGGGACCCAGGAAGGAAAGGAGAGCUGCUUCUGCCUCCCCAGCAGAGAGGGACCUUCCCAGAGAAGAUGUCUUGCGCCUCACCUGAUCUUGUUCUGAGAGUAGGAGACUGGAAGAGAAGCGUUCAACUCCCCAAACACAGCUGGGUUUGUUUCGUUUAAUCUCCCAGCCUGUUUUUCUGCUGUCCUCCUGAAGAAUGUUUAAUCUCACAGUUAAAACCACCAAAAGCGACUUUUUUCCCCCUCAACUGCUCAGUAACACAUGACCGUGCAAAUUCGUUUGGCCCCAGCGCCACAAGUCAUAAAAGGCAUCUAGUGGGCGGCAUGAGUCAAUCAGGCCUUUGGACGGUGACGUAACCACAGCUUGUCAGUUUCCCCAUCCAGGCAGCCCCAAUCCCCCAGUGCAGACAUCUGGAGCCAGGGAUUGACAAGUGGAUUCCAGGAUUGGGCCCUGCCUCCCGCCCUGUUCAGUUCCAGCCCAGCCACGGCCGCCGCCAACGAGGACACGCACUGUCUUUCUGCACAUUCCCACGUACACACACCCCCGCAGCCCCCUCUCCACUCAUUCCUGCAUUUCCGGCAAUGUGAAUUCUGACAGCUCGGGCAGUGUCAGCCUCUCCGGUGCAUUCCUCACCACACCACCUCACUGCUCCCGAGCCUGCUGACAGCACUCCCCGCCAUACCUACCAAGCCGAAGGUGCAAGGAACCUCUUGAUCCCCACUGUGUCUUUGUCCCAGGGCCACAGCAAAAUAGCACCCCCCUCCCCCACACACCCUCUAGCCUAAUUUAUUAGACUUUUAAACACAUUUAUUUACUGUGAUAUCUACACCACACCAAACAUCUGGAGGGAAACCGGGAGACAAUCCACCAGGAAUUUAAAUGUUUGUUCUGCAAUGUAACUUUGAAAACCGAACCAGGAAAACUUGACAUCUUUAGCCAAUUGCUUGGUGGAGUGAAAUCCAAUGGGAUAUUGGGGCCUGCAAAGGAGAAGAGGAGAUCCGCACAAACCCGUUCCUGGCUGCUGCAUUCACCUCCAGCGUUUGUGAUGCCCCAGAGCACAGAACUCCAGGGAGCCCACGAUGCAGGAGAGUUCAGCGACAUUCACUGAGUACAAGAGAAGACUGUUGGGAGGCACCAAUGGACUUUGCAACUGGAGAUCUCCCAACUGGACCAUGUCACUGUUAUGUUUAAUUUGCACUGUGCACAGUAGGUACCCAGUCAACGUUUGUCGAAUUCCAUGGACUGGGCCUUAUACCUCCGAGGAUUUUUCACAGCAGUAGCAUGUGCACAUGCACAGAACGAGAACACAACCAAUGCUUGUUUGCUGGUGAAGACCUGGUCUCAGUAUUUUGCCCAGGAAACCCUUUCUUCAUGGACAGCAUGAGGCAAGCUAUGGCCCUUGCUGUGGUCUCAGUGGUUCAGCACGGAAGAUGAAGAUGACGGGCAGUCUCAGAAUAUUAGCUUUAGAAGGGACUUUGGAUCCUUUUGAUUUUGGUAGGUGAAAUACUUUUUAAAAAUAAAGAAAACGGACUUUGGACAAAUGCUCUCAUUUUGUAAAUGAAAAAGUAGAGACAGGAAGAGUAACUGAUUUGUCCAAAAUCAAACA
rnacentral:lncRNA from 1 species